GACGAACGCUGGCGGCGUGCUUAAUACAUGCAAGUCAACUGAACUUAGGAUAGCAAUAUUUUAAGGGAGGUGGCGCACGGGUGAGUAACACGUAGGUAAUCUGCCUUUAGGUCUGACAUAACCUACCGAAAGGUAGGCUAAAAUCAGAUGAUGCAGCGGCUCGACAUCGAGACAGUUGUUAAAUCUUCGGAGCCUAAAGAUGAGCCUGCGUCUGAUUAGGUAGUUGGCGGUGUAAUGGACCACCAAGCCUGCGAUCAGUAGCUGGUCUGAGAGGAUGAUCAGCCACACUGGAACUGAGACACGGUCCAGACUCCUACGGGAGGCAGCAGUAGGGAAUAUUGGACAAUGGGCGGAAGCCUGAUCCAGCAAUGCCGCGUGAGUGAUGAAGGCCUUAGGGUUGUAAAGCUCUUUUACCAGGGAUGAUAAUGACAGUACCUGGAGAAUAAGACUCCGGCUAACUACGUGCCAGCAGCCGCGGUU
rnacentral:rRNA from 1 species